rnacentral:lncRNA from 1 species
CACCAGUCAUGCUGGGCUGCUGCCACAAUGGUUUGAAGGGAUUCAGCCUCUGAGUUUUAUCCUGGAUAUGCCCAUAAGGAUUCUCCAGCAAGAAAAUGGUGAAGCCUCCUAUCUACUGCUGGUACUUGCAGCUCUUCUACUAAUUUGGGUAGAAGGGUGAGCCCACUUAGAGCUGUAAUCCCUGCGAGGCCUUUCUGCAAAAGGGUUGAAGGAGUUGAGAUCUUUCUGGAGAUGGACAUGGACAAAGAGCCACCAGUAACAGCUGCAUGCAUUUGCUUUCCUAAAAACACACCCUCCCAGAAAGAGCAACAAGAAACAGGAAUCAGGUCUGGUCCUUGAUUUGGUGAGUGCCCUCAAAUAAAUUACAUAAGAAAUCUCUGAUUAUAUAAAGU